rnacentral:rRNA from 1 species
AACGAACGCUGGCGGCAGGCCUAACACAUGCAAGUCGAGCGAGACCUCCGGGUCUAGCUGCGGUCGGGUGAGUAACGCGUGGGAACGUGCCCUUUUCUACCGAAUACCCUCGGGAAACUGAGCGUAAUACCGUAUACGCUCUUUGGGGGCAAGAUUUAUCGGAGAAGGAUCGGCCCGCGUUGGUUUAGGUUGUUGGUGGGGUAAUGGCCUACCAAGCCUAGGAUCCAUAGCUGGUUUGAGAGGAAGAGCAGACACGCUGGGGCUCAGACGCGGCCCAGACUACUACGGGAGGGAGGAGAGGAGAAUCUAAGACGAUGGGGGCAACGAUGAACGAGCCAUGCCGGGUAAGUGAUGAAGGCGGUAGGGAAGUGAAGCUGUUUCAGAUGGGGAGAUAAUGACGGUACCAGCAGAAGAAGCACCGGCUAACUCCGUG